UCUCCAAAAGCUAAAAGGGGCUGCAAACGUUCAUUCACCAAAGCAUUCUCCAGGCUCCUCACCUGACAGAGGACGCCAUCCCUGCUUCUUAAGGUGAGAAGAUUGAGGCCUGGAGGAAUCGCCUGUAAGCCCCAGAUCCCUGGCUGACUGGCAGAGGAGACAGAACUCUGGCUGCAGAGCUCUGGCCAGAAGCAUAGCCUUUAACUGGAGAAAACGAGCCACUGCCGUGUUAUAACGUGGAUGCCAGCGACUGGACAGAGAUGUGAGGAAGGCCCAUGUGUUGGCCACAUUGUCUGCAGAUUUGCCUCCAGAGUAGGCCUCAGUCUAUGCUGUGGGCUGGAUCUGUCAUGACGCUGGUGCUACAUCUAACACAGCCAGAGUGAAUUCAGUUCCAG